AGAAGGAGGACGACGACGACCACGAGCUUCAUGGGUUUAUAGAUACUCCUUGGCAGCCAGUCUUUGUAUGGAGUCCACCGUGAUCUACUGUAUAGAGCCCAUUCAAGAUGUAGGAGCCUUUUUUUUCUUCAAACUGUGGGUCCAGUGACUACUAGGGGGUCUCUGCAAACUUUCAAUGAGGACCAUUAGACUUCUUGAGAAGGAUUGGCUCAGGGAAGGAUUGACUGCAACCAUCUCACCCCAACCCCUGGGUGCAUCAGCAUUGGAUA